UUCGGGCUUUCUUUCAUCGAGACUCCUGUCAACUUUCUCCGGCCCAAUUAUCUAACAGAAGUUCAGCCCAAGUCCCCAGGUUUUUCCGCCGAAAGAGACACACUCUCCCUCUUCUCUUCCCACCAUUUCAAAAUCCCAUCCCCGAUCCUGCGGUCACGACUCACGACCAUCGGCUCCGAUUACCCUUGAAAUCGGCUUUCGUAAGCAUCGUUUUGUGAUUUCUUCAACUGAUUUGUCAAGCUUUAUAUCAAUAUUGAUUGUAAUGCUUCUUCCUCCAUUGGGGUUAGGGUUUAUUACCUUGUUUUUUAAUUGGAGAAUCGAUAUAGCUCUCAAAUAUGACCAGAGCCGAAAUCGAAAACGCAAGGGAGGACAUGGUUACCGAGUGUAAACCUGACAAUUUGAUAGUGUUUCCCGUGACGGUCAUUGCUUAACUUUGUCUCGCAUAAGAAUUGUUGUACUUAACCCAAUAAAAGUUUUAGUUUUAAGGUGCAAAAUGUGCUAAGUUCAACCUUAUAACUCUGAUCAAAGUUGCCAUAUUCCUCUUAGAAUGCAUACUGGCCAUAAAUUUCCAGCCCCCCUCCCCCCAACUCCGGUGGAGAAGCAGCUUGUUUCCUUAUAUUGUAAGGUACUGCUGCUCAAUAGCUGAUGUUUAAGUGGACUGCUAGCCAACAAUGACAGUUGCUAUCAAAGGAAUCGAUACUUCCCUCAGAAGUUGGGUUGAUAUUUGUUCUCUUCCUUGGAGAAAAGAGGGGGAGAAAGACUAAUUGGUAUCUGAUCUUGUAUGUUCAAUUGUCAGGUGGGUAUCAGAUCUUACACGGAUUGUAUUUUAGAGGAGCACAAUAGGAGCGGCUUCUUAGCUCUUUUUAAACAGUUAAAUCUUAGAGGGGUUAUAUUUAGA